GGAGGCCACAACUCUCCCUAAGAC
rnacentral:tRNA from 1 species